CAAAAAUAACCCAAUCUGCCGUUUGUCUUAAAAAAUCUAAAGAAAAGCCAAAAAAGAUGACAAAAAGAAAAGGACCAAAAAGCUGACCUAAGGAUAUAAUCAGACGCUAUAACAAAAAAGAGAGGCGCCGUGUUUUGACAAAAAAAUCGUACCCUCUUCCCUUGACUUCAUCUUCUCCAAACGACCCCCUUUUCCUCAUCUCUGGCGGAGCCCACACCAGCGACCAGCAUCAACCCCUGUUUCGCCAAAAAUAAGCAGAAAAAGACCGUCCUUGUUUGCUAAAUCAAAGUGAAAUAGACCGGAAAACGUCCCCGACGAGGUCCCGGUUUGAAUUUCCGGUGUACGGUUAGAGGCUAAGAAGGAGGAACUUUGUACGCAAGAAAUGGAGGUAGUCCUCUCAUAUUCUUCUUAUUCUUGUCUUAGCAAACUCUAUAGUAUGCUUUAUCUAUCAUCCAAAAUAUGUACUUUGUCAUCUCUCCUUUUUUGUAAUUAUAUUUAAAUCUGAUUGACUUGGAUGACAACAACGUGCAUUAGUCUGUUGAUUUAUCUCUACAAAUUUAAGAGGGGUGGUAUUCAAUAGAACUAUGUUCAUUUUAUGUUCUACCUAAGCAGAAAUUCGAAAAGUUUCUUAUUUCGCGUAAGAACAUGCAAACCAUUUAUCCUAGAUAUAUGUAUUCAAGUUAUAUCUCAGUUCAAACGAGUGUAUUUCAGAAAUUGAGGCAACGAGAUUAAAUUAAAUUUUUUUAAUUACUAAAUUCGGGUAUGCAUUUCAUGUGACCCUACCAUAAUUUUUGAAUAAUGAUAAUAGAAAUUAUCAUGUUAUAAAUCCGGGUGUACAUUUCAUGUGACCCUGUUCUCAUUUCCAACAAGGUUAAAUAGAACGUGUCGUGAACCACGGGUGCAUUUCAUGUAGCGUGGCUUGCAAUGUGUUUUAAAUAACCUUGAAUUAAUCCUUUAAAUAAGUAAAAGCGGUUUUCAAAAGUUAAAAAUGUACAUAAGUUUAAAAGUGUUUUAAAAAUCAAAUAAAUAAGCCAAUAAUAAUAGUUGAGCGAUCGUGCUAGAACCAUGGAACCCGGGAAUGCCUAACACCUUCUCCCGAAUUAACAGAAUUCCUUACUCGGAUUUCUGUGGUCGCGGACUAUAAAACAGAGUCAAUCUUUCCUCGAUUUCGGAUUUGAACCGGUGACUUGGGACUCCAUAGACCAUCCCAAGUGGCGACUCUGAUUUUAAAUAAAAUAAUCCUGUUUCAAUUGUCACUUAAAUUGGAAAGAACUCCCUUAUACCGCCAUCGGGUGGUAAAAAGGAGGUAUGACAGCUCUGGCGACUCUGUUGGGGAGGAGAACCCAGAACUUUUGGUUCAAGGUUCAGAAUUAGAGCUUAGAAUAAUUGUUAUAGUUGGCUUUUAUUAUUAUAUGAUUUUUUACAUGUUUGAGCCUAAUGUGCUAAAUGCCGCUUUUUACCGCUUUGAUAUUUUUGAACUGUAUAUAAAUUGUUACGAAACCCUCUUCUCUCUAAGUCUUCUAAAUCAUCUAGGAAUUGUGCACUUUGUGUGACUUCUUUUCUGUUAGAGUCAUAUCCCAAUUUUAGAACGAGGUUCUGACAAGUUGCAAAGCAGGUAAAGCUUCUGUAUUUCCGGUACACUGCCCCCCUCGGCUCGACCGCUCGGGUAAGCCAGAUCUAGAACAAUACACCCAGGUUUUUAAACCUAGAAUAACAUAGCCUUAUGUCGGAUCCCUAGUAGCAAUGCUUAUUUGCAUCACGUGCAUUUGACUUUGCGGACUCAACACAGGGGUUGGAUCCGUCUAGGACAAGUGUACCCAAUUUAAAAGAACAUCCUGAUGCAUCUUACGUGCUACUUGCCUAUCUGUUUGUUUCGGCUUGCAUGUUGACUGGCUUCUAGAAUAGGGAAAGAAAAUGAAAAAAGAGAAAAUAAAGAGAAAAUAAAAAAAAAAAAAAAAGAAAAGAGAGUGAGAGGUAGGUAUUUGAAUUAUCCUAAAAUUCUGCCGAAAUUUUGAAAAAAAGAAGAGAAAAAGUCAUUUCAAAAUAAAUCAUGUUUUUCCUGUUCCAUCAAAACCGGUGAACUACGCGGGUCUGAUUCUCACCGGAUGUGAGAUACGUAGGCAAACCUCAUCGGUUCCGACCCCAUUUUUCAAAAAUUCAAAAAAAAUCCUUUAAUUCCUUCUUUAGAAGUCUUUCUUUAGAAAGUCCAAAUAAAAAAAGUUAACAAAAAAUAUUUUCUUUCAUUUUAGAAGUCUUUCAUUUGAAAAGAAAAUCAAAUCAAAAUCCAAAAAAAUAUUUUCUACGUUUUUUAGAAGUCUUUUUCCCAAAAAAUCAAAACAAUCAAAUCAAAAUCCAAAAAAAUAUUUUCUUUCUUCUUUAGAAGUCUUUCUUUCAAAAAUUUUGAAAAAAAAAAACAAAAUCAAAAAUAUAAAAAUAUUUUCAUUGAAAAGAAAUUCAAGAAUCAAAAAUAUUUUCUUUUUCUUUAGAAGUAGUUCUUUCAUAAAUUGAAAAUAAAAGUCCAAAAAUUCAAAAAUAUUUCUUUCCUUCUUUAAAAGUUUUUCUUUCGGAAAUUCCAAAAAAAAAGAGUCAAAAUUCAAUAUAUAUAUAUUUCUAAAUAAAUUUCAAAAUUCAAAAAGAGAGUCAAUUUAGUUACUUUAUUCCCGAUCUUCCCGAACUACGCAAGAUCUGAUUCAUGUUCCCACAUGUUACGUAGGCAACCCACAUCAAGUUCGAUCAACCAUUGAAAAGAAAAAUGAGAAUAAAUAAAAAAAAGAGGAAAAAGAAAAGAAAAAAGAAAAAAAAUCCAGUAUCUAAAACUGGGGCAGAGAUUUUAUUUUACUUUUGAAAGAGUCGAUUCCAAGAGAUGUAAGUCCACAACCCCUCAUUUUGAGUCUACUUUAAGCCUUCAUGCCGUCCCUUCUUUCCAACGCUAUCCAAAAUCCUUCCAAAUAAAGACCUCCCGAUAUGCCUUCAAGAAUGCUAAGAGAAGAAUUAUGCAAUGAGUAACAGUUGUCACACGACAUAGAACACUGUCAAGUUGCUCAAGAAAACAACAGAUUAAAAAAAGAGAAGAAGAAAAAUGAGAGAGUCUUACAAGUGAAAACCCUCAUAGGCACUAUAAGGCGACGGUAAGCAGAGAUGAAUAAAUGAGAGAGACUUGUUGGUGAAAAUCCCUCGGGGAACCACUAAUCGAAAGUGAGUCAUGAAGCGAUGCAAAGGAUUGGCACGAACAAGCCCGACUUCAAAGGUCAUAAGAAUGGCAAAAGGGAAGAUUGGAUUAAUUUGAUAGAUCAAGCCAUUGAGUCCAAAAUGCAUGUCAUGACCAUUAAGGCUAGUUAUUGAAAAAAAAAGGAAAAAAAACUCUUCCUUCUGUCCUUCCGACAGGGGCAUUUUUUGUUAAUAAUUGUCUCAUUGCAUCAUUGUGUCCUUCACUCCGAGUUCAAACAAGCAAGAAAAGAUUUCAAAAUCUACUACCAGUUUGUCAAUUGCACAAAGUAAAGUUGGCCAGCACACUCAGUUGUUACUUUUAACAUGCCUUGAGGAUUCAUGCAAAAGAUCCCCCCCUAAAAGACUCUUGUCAGCCUGCUUGGCGCAAACAAAGAUAACUUGUGAUUCUCUCUGGCAGACAAAUUGCUCAAAAGUAGGAAGUCAUUCAAGAUAUCAGAAAAGGUCACUUGAGCAAAGAUCUCCCGUUGGGAUAAGGCUGAUUGAACCACAAAUACAAAUGGUAAUGGGUUUGAAAAAAUCGGGGUUGAUGCAGAGUAAAAGUCUCUUGAAACCUACUCAAGCUGAUUGAGCAAAAGUCAAAGCUGUCCAAGGACUCAAGGCCACAACCGACUACCAUUUUCAAAACUGACAAAUUUUUCUUUGUGUGAAACAGGAACAAAGCAGUGCAAGAAAAGUUGUUAAAAAAAACAAAAAAAAGAGAAAAAAAAACAAAAAAAAGAAAGAAAAAAAGAGAAGAAAAAGAAAAGAAGAGAAGAGCCGACAAAAGGAAGUUUCUCAAAUCUUUACCUUUAUUUGUUUUGUUAAUGUGUAAAAAAUCUUGCCAUUGAUAUUCACAUUUUGCAUCCUAGGAUAAAAAGUCCUAGUCUGAUGGAUUUUUCUCCCAAUAGAAAUCUUAGUCUGAUGAAUUUUUCUCCUAAGAUAGAAGACCUAGUCUGAUGAACUUUCUCAUAGGAUAAAAAUCUUAGUCCGAUGAAUCUUUCUCAUAAGAUAAUAAAAAAAGGACCUAGUCUAAUGAACUUUCUCCUAGGAUCAAAAUCUUAGUCUGAUGAAUCUUUCUCCUAAGAUAGAAGACCUAGUCUGAUUAACUUUCUCCUAGGAUCAAAAUAUUAGUCCGAUGAAUCUUUCUCCUAAGAUAAUAAAAAAAGACUUAGUCUGAUGAACUUUCUCCUAGGAUCAAAAUCUUAGUCUGAUGAAUCUUUCUCCUAAGAUAGAAAACCUUGUCUGAUGAAUUUUCUCCUAGGAUCAAAGUCUUAGUCCGAUGAAUUUUUCUCCUAAGAUAGAAGACCUAGUCUGAUGAACUUUCUCCUAGGAUAGAAAUCUUAGUCUGAUGAAUCUUUCUCCUAAGAUAUAAAAAGAGAGACCUAAUCUGAUGAAUUUUCUCCUAUNNNNNNNNNNNNNNNNNUCNAAGUCUUAGUCUGAUGAAUUUUUCUCCUAAAAUAGAAGACCUAGUCUGAUGAACUUUCUCCUAGGAUAGAGAUCUUAGUCUGAUGAAUCUUUCUCCUAAGAUACAAAAAAAGAGACCUAAUCUAAUGAAUUUUCUCCUAUGAUCAAAGUCUUAGUCGGGUGAAUUUUGCUCCUAAGAUAGAAGACCUAGUCUGAUGAACUUUCUCCUAGGAUAGAAAUCUUAGUCUGAUGAAUCUUUCUUCUAAGAUACCAAAAAAAAGAGACCUAGUCUGAUGAAUUUUCUCCUAGAAUCAAAUCUUAGUCUAAUGAAUUUUUCUCCUAAGAUAGAAGACUUAGUCUGAUGAACUUUCUCCUUGGAUCAAAACCUUAGUCUGAUGAAUCUUUCUCUUAAGAUACCAAAAUAAAGUGACCUAGUCUGACGAAUUUUCUCCUAGGAUAAUUUGAAAAAAGAAGAAGUCUGGAUUUAAAAAAAAAGGGGUCAACCUUAGUUUCUUAAGCUAUCAAUGUUUAGUUUUCUUGAAAUCAGGGGUCCCACCUAAAGAAUGAGGUCAGUUUUUACUUUAGUCAAGCUUAGUUUAUAGUUUUCCGCAAGCUAAAUCACUUAUAGGAGACAUACAUCCUAGUCGAGUCAUUAAUUUUACUUUCAUCAUUGCAUAAGUGGUUUACAGUUUUGCUAACAACUCACAAAUCUUCCGAGUGCAAAUUGGGGCAGAAAAUUUUGUUGGUUUUGUUGUUUUGAUUGCAGGCACCCACUUGUAGAAUAAGGGAAGACAGUUCAAGAGUCAACGGAAAACGAGUCAAGUUUUGAGGGAAAAACAGUACAAGUGUUGGAAAUCAGGAGUCCACCUGGAGAAUAAAGGGAAAGUAGCAAUAUUCAAGGGAAGAAAGUUCAAAAGAAAAAGCAGUUUCAAGAAGAGGACAAUUCAGGUUCAGCAAUCAGGCACCCACUUGGAGAAACAAGGGAAAACAACACGAGUUUCAAGAGUAGAAAGUAGUUCAGGUUCAAGCAAUCAGGCACACAUAUGGAGAAACAAGGGAAGACGAUUCCAAGAAAAAGCGGUCUUAAGAGAAAGCAGUUCAGGUUCAACAAUCAGGAGCCCAUUUGAAGAACAAAGUGAAAAACAGUACAAGUGUUGGAAAUUGGAGCCCACCAAGAGAACAAAGGGAAAGCAAUUCAAGUGUUGGUAAUCAGGAGCCCACCUGGAGAACAAAGGGAAGUAGUUCAAGUUUCGAGGAAAAAAAGUUCAAGUGUUGGAAAUCAGGCGCCUGUCUGGAGAACAAGGGAAGUCAUUUUAGAAUCCGAUUCAAGUUAGAAGUAGCAGAAGCUCGUCUCAAAAAUGCGGGUUGACAGGGGUCCGAGAUAACAAAAAAGAAGUCUCAAUCAAGAAUAAAAGGAAAAAAAGUGAAUCCAAAGUGCAGAAGUGGAGAAAAGAUGUGGUCUGCUCAAGACAUAAUUGAAGUCACAAGCUCUGCAUGUCCCGUCUUGAUCUGAAAAGCUGAAGAAGAUUGAACUAACACAUGUAGCUAACAAGCAUCAAGAUUCACAUCAGAGUCCGCAUGAAUAACCAACCAAGACUCAAGAUCAAGCUUCAGAAGACUCAUAGAUAGGAAUCUUGUAAUUCGUUGCUGAUAGGCUUAGUUAGUCUUUUUUAUUUUUUGAUUUUGAUGUAAUAACGGGAUCGCGGACCGGAACCUCGACGACACCCCAAUCGGCUCUCCACCUCGGUACUCUAUCACCUCAUUCACUUCUGAACUACACGUGGCCUGAUUCCUUUAUAGCCAAGGAUAUGUAGGCAGCUCAGAUACUAGGGCUCGGUCACAUUCUCCUUUCUUUUUGUAUUGGUCUCUCCAAAUAAGGGUCGGGUCAAAAUACCUGUCUCGUCGUUCUUUGUCUGAAAACUCUUCGCGUUUCCAGUCAAAGAGGGGCAGCUGUAGACAUGUGAUUUUUGACUCUCCCCAAGAUUUUUUAUAUUUUAAUAUGUAAAUAUUUAGUUUAGGCCUAAUAUCUUUAUUUAAACUAAUUUUGACUCUUUUACUUUAUUUUAUNNNNNNNNNNNNUAAUCUUGAAAAAUGCCAAAAAAUAAUUUUAUUUUAACGGUCAGUCUUAUUUUAACAAUUAUUUUACUUAAGUAGGACUAAUUAAUAAAUGAGAUCGUAUUUUAGUCUUGUUCGCGGGGAAAGAAUAAAUUUGGGUUCAAGCGACCCAUUUUUAAGUGUAAUUUUCGAACCUUCCCAAGACCAUAAUACCUAGGCCCAUACCCCUAAACUAAUUCCUACCCCCAUAUAAUAGUACUUAAUGCCUAAAUAAGGCCGUACGCCAAAAACAACCCAAUCCGCUGUUUGUCUUCAUAAAUCAAAAGAAAAGACAAAAAAGAUGACAAUAAGAAAAGGACCAAAAAGCUGACCUAGGGAUACAAUCAAACGCUAUAACCAAAAAGAGAGGAGCCAUCUUUUGACAAAAAAAUCGUACCCCCACCCCCUGACUUCAUCUUCUCCAAACGACCCCCCUUUUCCUCUUCUCCGGCGGAGCCCACACCAGCGACCAACAGCAGCCCCUAUUUCGCCAAAAAAUAAGCAGAAAUAGACCGGAAAAAGUCCCCGACGAGGUCCCGGUUCAAGUUUCCGGCGUACGGUCAGAGGCUAAGGAGGAACUUCGUAGGCAAGAAGUGGAGGUAGUCCUCUCAUAUUCUUCUUAUUCUCGUCUUAGCAAACUCUAUAGUAUGCUUUAUCUAUCAUCCAAAAUAUGUACUUUGUCAUCUCUCAUUUAUUGUGUUUUAAAUUCUAUUUAAAUCUGAUUACCUUAGAUGACGACAACGUGCAUUAGUCUGUUAAUUUAUCUAUACAAAUUUAAGAGGGGUGGUAUUCAAUAGAACUAUGUUCAUUUUAUGUUCUACCUAAGCAGAAAUUCGAAAAGUUUCUUAUUUCGCGUAAGAACAUACAAACCAUUUAUCCUAGAUAUAUGUGUUCAAGUUAUAUCUCAGUUCAAAUGGGUGUAUUUCAGAAAUUGAGGCAAUGCGAUUAAAUUGAUUUUUUUAAUUACCAAAUUCGGGUGUGCAUUUCAUGUGACCCUACCAUAAUUUUGAAUAAUGAUAGUAGAAAUUAUCAUGUUAUAAAUCCGGGUGUACAUUUUAUGUGACCCGGCUCUCAUUUCCAACAAGGUUAAAUAGAACGUGUCGUGAACCACGGGUGCAUUUCAUGUAGCGUGGCUUGCGAUGUGUUUUGAAUAACCUUGAAUUAAUCCUUUAAAUAAUUAAAGCGAUUUUCAAAAGUUAAAAAUGCACAUAGGUUUAAAACUAUUUUAAAAAUCAAAUAAAUAGGCCAAUAAUAAUAGUUGAGCGACCGUGCUAGAACCACUGAAUCCGGAAAUGCCUAACACCUUCUCCCGGGUUAACAUAAUUCCUUACCCGGAUUUCUGUGUUUGCGGACUAUAAAACAGAGUCAAUCUUUUCUCAAUUCGGGAUUUGAACUGGUGACUUGGGACACCAUAAACCAUCCCAAGUGGCGACUCUGAUUUUAAAUAAAAUAAUCCCGUUUCGAUUGUUACUUAAAUUGGAAAGAACUCCCUUAUGCCGCCCUCGGGCGGUAAAAACAGGUGUGACACUUUUGAUACGAAUGAACAUGUGGGGGAAUAAGGAUUUCAUUGAUGUAAAUUUUGUCAGAUUCCGAGACGUGGGCUCGGGGGUCGGGUUUGGUAAAUUUUGGGAUUUGUUUUGUAAUUUGGUUACUUUCGAGUGGGCUUUGUUCCCUUAGCAUAUUUUGAUGAUUAUAUACUGAUUUUGGUUAGAUUUUGGGUCAUCACCUGUUUUUAAAAUGAAUUCUAUGUUCUGAGGCCUUAACCUCUUUUUGUCUCACAUCGAUUUGCGUGCACAGUCGGGACACGUAGCCGGAAAGCUAAUAUGUGAAAAUCUGUGGAAAAUGGUAAAUUUUGAUUAUAAAAUGAAUUAGGUUGACUUCGGUCAAUAUUUUGGGUAAAUGGACCGAACCCAUGAUUUGACGGUCCUGGAGGGUCCGUAGGAAAAUAUGGGACUUGGGCGUAUGCCCGAAAUCGAAUUCCGAGGUCUCAAGCCCGAGAAAUAAAUUUUUAAAGAAAAUUGUUUUUCUGAAUAUAUUUAUGAGAUUUAGAAAUGAAUUGUUAUUAGAACUUGAUGGUAUCGGGCCCGUAUUUUGGUUCCGGCAGGUCUUAUAUUUGAUUUAAGAUAAGUCUGUGAAAUUUGGUAAGAAAUGGACUUGAAACGACGUGAAUCGGAUCAUUUUUUAGAAAACUGGAAAUUUGAAGUUCUUAAGAAAAUUUCAUGAUUUUGAUGCUAAAUUCCUAGUUGUUGAUGUUAUCUUAGUGAUUUGAAUGCACGAGCAAGUCCGUAUGAUAUUUUUAGAUUGGUGUGCAUGUUUGGUUGAGAGCCCCGAGGGCUCGGGUGAGUUUUGGAUAGGCCACAAAGUGAAAUUUUAACUUAGGAAAUUGCUGGUAUGCUUCAGGCCUACAGGCUUCGCAUCUCGCAAAUGCGAGCAAUGUAUCGCAAAUGCGAUAGGUGGCCUGGGUUGCCUUCUUCGCAAAUGCGAACUGUCUAUUGCAAAUGCGACGUCUGCCUGGAAUCCCCCUUAGUCACAAAUGCGAGACCUCAGUCGCACAUGCGACUUCACAAAUGCGACACUGCUUUCGCAAAUGCGAACAUAGCAGAGGUCGGGGUUCGCAAUUCCCAUAUCUGCAACCUGUAAUUUUUAUACUUAGCCGAAAAUCAACCAUUUUUCACACUCUUUCAAAACCAAAACACUCUCGGGCGAUUUUUCAAAGACAACUCUUCUUCCAAAUCGAUUGUAAGUCAAUUUCAACUCUUUUUCUUCAAUCAUUAACAUCUUUUAACAUGAUUUCAACUCAAAAUCAAUGAUUUUCAUGGGGGAAAUAGAGUGUAUUGGGUAGAACCUAGGUUUUUCAAAAAUUGAGGAUUUGGACCUCGAUUUGAGGUCCGAUUUCAAACAAAUUAUAUAUUUGGGUUUGUGGGAAAAUGGGUAAUCGAGUUUUUGUUCGAACCUCGGGUUUUGACCAUGUGGGCCUGGGGGCAAUUUUUGACGUUUUGGGUAAAAAUUUCGAAAACUCAUUUUUAUGCAUUGGGGUUGAUUCAUUUAGCGUUUAUUGAUGUAAUUAAGUAACUUGUGGCUAUAUACGAGCAAAUUAGUGGUGGAAUCAAAGGGUAAAGCAAUAAUUGAGACGUGAAUUGUGACGUGAAUUGUGUUCGUGGCAUCGAUGUAAGUGUUUGGUUUAACCUGAGCUUGAGGGAUUAGGAGUUGUGUCCUAUUUGCUACUUGUUUCUUAUUGAGUACGAUGUAUAGGCAUGGUGACGAGUAUCUAUACAUUGGUGUCGAGCAUGAUCGUGAGCCUUAAAUUGUGAUUUAUUGUGUUCUUGAAUAAUACUACGGAUGCUUAAAUUGAUUAUUCUCUGUAUUGAGCAAGGAUUAUGAUUGUUCUCGUGGAAUUACUUAUGAUUGAGUAUUGGUGUUAGCUGAAGUAGUUAGAUGUUGGAACAAGUUUGGUUAUAGCUAUUUCUCCCUUGCCGGGAUGUAUUUAUUGAUACUGUCGAUUCCCUUGCCGGAAUAGUGUAGUUCUUUAUUGAUACCUUGCCGGGACUCUUGUUAUGAUUGUUGUUGAUUAUAUAUGUGGAUCGGGUUGCACGCCGCAAUAAUAUUAUAUGUGGAUCGGGUUACACGCCGCAACAAUAUUAUAUGUGGAUGGUUGCACGUCGCAACAAUGAUAUAUGUGGAUCGGGUUACACGUCGCAACAAUGAUAUAUGUGGAUCGGGUUGCACGCCGUAAUAGUGUUGUUAUAUUUUGGGAUCGGGUUGCGUGCCGCAACAAUUAUUGAUACAAAGUGUUUAUAGAUUGGAUACAAGUUUCUUAUUGUUUUGCCGUGAAUUCUAAGCUAUCAUUAUGCCGUUACUCUUGAUUUACUGUUGAUAUUGAUACACCCCUCGCAGCAUGUACCCUCAUCCCAUCUUUACUUGUUUAUUCCUGCUUCAUUUUAUGCAGUAUAUUAUAUAACUGCACAGGUUCAUUUGGUAGUCUGGUCAUUGCCUCGUCACUACUUCGCCGAGGUUAGGCUAGGCACUUACCAACACAUGGGGUCGGUUGUGCUGAUACUACACUCUGCACUAUGUGCAGAUCCCGGAGCAGCUCUUGGACCAUAGCAUUUGGGUGGCUACCUUCAGUCCACGCAGAGAUCCAAGGUAGACCUGUAGGCGUCCGCAGGCCCUGGCGUCUCCUCUAUCCUUUAUUUCCUGUUUCAUUUCUUUGAUUUAGAAACAGCGUAUCUUUAUUUUCAGACUUUAUAUUUAGCACUCUUAGAUCAUCUGUGGUACUGUGACACCAGUUCUGGGUGAUUAAGGCUUAAAUAGUUGUAUUAGAUUCAUAUUUCACAUAUUUUACUACAUUUCUUCCGCUUAAUGAAAUUUUCG
rnacentral:lncRNA from 1 species